GAUGAACGCUGGCGGCGUGCCUAAUACAUGCAAGUCGAGCGAACAGAUAAGGAGCUUGCUCCUUUGACGUUAGCGGCGGACGGGUGAGUAACACGUGGGUAACCUACCUAUAAGACUGGGAUAACUUCGGGAAACCGGAGCUAAUACCGGAUAACAUUUGGAACCGCAUGGUUCUAAAGUGAAAGAUGGUUUUGCUAUCACUUAUAGAUGGACCCGCGCCGUAUUAGCUAGUUGGUAAGGUAACGGCUUACCAAGGCGACGAUACGUAGCCGACCUGAGAGGGUGAUCGGCCACACUGGAACUGAGACACGGUCCAGACUCCUACGGGAGGCAGCAGUAGGGAAUCGUCCGCAAUGGGCGAAAGCCUGACGGAGCAACGCCGCGUGAGUGAUGAAGGGUUUCGGCUCGUAAAACUCUGUUAUUAGGGAAGAACAAAUGUGUAAGUAACUGUGCACGUCUUGACGGUACCUAAUCAGAAAGCCACGGCUAACUACGUG
rnacentral:rRNA from 1 species